UGUGGCCUAUGGCGUCCGCCGGUGGAUCCCUCGUUGUGGCGCUCGUCGUGUGCUUCCUCGUGGGCACCAACCCACGGUGGCACAUCUGUAUCGUCGCCAUGCCACAGAAGUUAACUGUGUGUAUCAAACAAAUCAUGACAUCUGCUUCAUUUCAAACAAAUCAACGAGUCAAUAGAUGAUGGACAAGUAUGAGUGUGUGGUGAAGGCCAAUGUUAAUCUGGA